rnacentral:lncRNA from 1 species
AUUAAACCAGAAUUUACCUAAACCGACUUUAAUUAAACCUCUUUUGGUUCAAUUAAACAAAUCGACCAGUUUAGGAAAUCAACCGGAAUUAAACCGAUUCCACCCUAAUUCUUAUACACAUUCAAGUCUCAUAUUAAUUUUCAGAACACGGGCGUUACAAUUCUCCCCCACUAACAUGGAUUCGUCCUCGAAUCCUUCAACACCGUCCACCAGUUGGACUCCGUGCAACCGUCCCAAACGAUCUGCACUCCCACAACUGACUCCUCUGAGGCUCCUAUCUAAUCCAUAUACUCACGUUCCAGACCCUAUUUGCUCAUACUCACCCACUUCCCCCGUCCACAGGUCGCAACCCAUGAAUCAUACCGGCUCGUCCUCAGGCCUCUGCCUUAGACUACGGUAUCCAGGAAGUCUCACCACUCCCCCCGCUAUCAGGUCGCAACCCUCAAGUCAUACCGGCUCACUAUUAGGCCACCCGCCUUCUAGCUACGGUAUCCGGGAAGUCUCACGCUCGCUCUCGGGUCGUCACCCUCAAAUGUGCACUCGAAUCGUCAUCCGAAGCCAUCACAUCAUAUCCGAGCAAAUAAGUCUAAACGCCCCCGAGCAUAUCUCUCGAUUAGAUAUACCUCCCGUGGUCCACUUAUAGCAUCGCAAUGCUAUACUAACCACCACCCCGAGACUUUCCAAAAAUAGAACCGUCAAACCCGACACUUUCUAUUUUUAGAAACUCGCACAUAUUUCUCUUACACAUGACACAACAAGUCAAAUCAAGAAAUACUCACAUAGUCCAAGUACAACAUCACAAUGUCAUACCUACCAAACAAUAUUCCCACCUGGAAUAUCAUCUCUACCAUGACCAUUCUUCAAGUCAACUCCCAAACAAUCCCGUCACUCAGAGUAUUACAUAAUAGUCUCCAACUUAACUUCUCGGAAAUCCAUUUCCAACAAAACACCACCGAAGACCCGCGCUCCAGACUACAACCACCACAACCACAUAACUACUUCGAGCACCACGCUCGCAACCUCUAGCCUCCCACACUGCCACGAGCAGAAACUAGGAAAACAGAUGACUAGAGAAAAGAUAAAACAUCACAACUUACCGUGGAAUCUCAUUGAAGGCUCGAGAGGAUGAUCUAGGUCUCCAUGCUCACACAACUGAUUAAACACACAAAUCAAUCAGCAUGCAAUCCACAUCAUCAUUUUCCAUCAACGAAAUUCACACAUCACAUAAAAAAUAACCAAUUUACUCCCGCCCUAGAACCGUAAGGGCUCUGAUACCAAAUUGAAAGAACCCAUCCCAUUUUUUUUUCUUUUAAACAUGCAAACCGGAUUAACCCAAUUAAUUCGAACCAGCUAAACCGGCCAUAAUAAUUUAAAUCAAUUAAACCAAGCAAUCUCAUUAAAGUAAACCAACAAUAUUAUCCAGCGGAAGACUUAACCAAAAAUCCAAUAAUACGAUUCCAUUAAACCAACAAGUUCAACCAAACAUUAUUCCAAAACAUGAUCCUCCUAACAUGUUUCUAAAUUCCAUUCUAACACCCUAAUAAAUCCAACAAUAAUCUAAAACACCAAUGAGUGCCUAGAUCAUCCUCCUCUCCUCGCCAUGAUUCCACGGAUCACACUUUGCUUUUACCUGCAUCAAAGAAAGAGAUGCAUAAGUAUUUCAUAAAUACUUAGUGAGGGCGAUCCUACCAUCUACGAGCUAUACACACAAGCAAUGAGAUAACACCCACAUAUAUAACAAAAACAAACCAUCCAGCAAGCUAAACAUCCAAUAACACAUCCAGUUCACCUACAAAUCAUCACACAACAAGUCACUCAAUCCCAAUCGCUUAGAUAAGCUCAUGGUCACGCACUCACCUUAACAAGGUGAUUUGAGUUACAAAAACAACCAGGAAAUACUCUCUUCGUGACUGCAACAGCCAAACAACGCCCUACAACAAACCACACAAACACAAAUCUCUAAGAACCAAAAGGACAGAAACAUCAAAAAAACUACAGCCGCAGAAACGAAGCCCUAAAACAUAAACUAACCGUUAACUUCUUAAUCCCUACGGUGAAAAGCAAGAUACAGACGUCACGAAGCCCCCUACAAAAUUUGGUGCCGAUCGGAGAAACGAUGAAUCCACGAUCGCACUUACAAACUCCGCUGAUCCCAGUUCGCAACAGAGAAAACGCGUCUCACCAAACUGCAUAUAACUCACUGAGUAUUAAUCCAAAUUCACUUCUGUAAAAAGGAGAAUCAACGUACACGCCUUAAGAACAAACCUACCAAAAUUAAUUACCUUUCGAUAAGAUUUGAUACGUCGUAAAUCUAUUCUACCAGAACGUGACGGAUCUGCUUCUCUUGCCUUAAACACCAAAGCAAAGCUAACACUCUCCUUUUCACAAGUAAACUUCUCCUUUUCAUUUUCUCAACUCAACUCUCAGAAACAACAGCCACAAAACAAGAGAGAGAAGAAGCGUUCUUUAUAAAACUAGGGUUUUUGGUUUAAUUCUGAUUAAACCAGAAUUUACCUAAACCGACUUUAAU